AUACUUACCUGGCAGGGAAGAUACCAUAAUCAUGGAGAUGGUUUUACUAGUAUAAGGCUCAUUUCUCGCACUGUGGGUGUGCUGACCCCUGCGGUUUCCCCAAAUACGGGGAAACUCAACUGCAUAAUUUCUGGUAGUGGGGGACUGCGUCUGUGCUCUACCCUG
rnacentral:snRNA from 1 species